CGAACGCUGGCGGCAUGCCUAACACAUGCAAGUCGAACGAGAACGCUCCUUCGGGAGUUAGUAGAGUGGCGCACGGGUGAGUAACGCGUGGGAACCUGCCAAGCAGUAUGGAAUAACCUUUGGAAACGAAGGCUAAUACCGUAUACGCCCUUCGGGGGAAAGAUUUAUCGCUGUUUGAUGGUCCCGCGUCUGAUUAGCUAGUUGGUGAGGUAACGGCCCACCAAGGCGACGAUCAGUAGCUGGUCUGAGAGGAUGAUCAGCCACACUGGGACUGAGACACGGCCCAG
rnacentral:rRNA from 1 species